CAAUUUUGUACUGGACAUGACCAAAUACCAGUCUGUAAAUCCGGACUAACUUUUAAAGCCUCAACUUUCUCCAAGUUAUAUGAAUAUAAUCCAGUGUCUUGUUUAAAAUCUGUUUCCUUUUUGGAUAAGCAGGAAGAUGCGGAAGCUAAAUCGAGCAGUUUUGUAGGUCUAUACGGUAAAGUCGACCUCGUUGACCUAUUACAAGGGAAUAAAUUUGUUCGAUCCAGCCAUACCUGAUCGCAUAAAUUUGGAGUUGAUGAAUAUACUUUGGGAUAUUUGUUGCGAAGUAAUUUCAAUAAUUCAUCAUAGAAGCUGAAUGCAGGCCAAUAACCAAAAGAAAUAGAAAAAAGUUUAACAAAGUCAGGAAGAACUGUAACAAAAUUUUUUUCAAAAAUUUCCUCCGUAAAACUGAAAGCGACAGCUGAGUGAUUAAUGUAUUGUUCAUAUGUAUAAUCUGAGCCAGAAAGGCCUGAUCCAAUAUCAAAUAACAAGAAAUGAAAUAAUAUCUUGGCCGCCAAUUGAGCAUUUGAGAAAUCUAGUUUCAUGCAUAUUAGAGUCCUCAAGAGAUGUAGACUUGUUUUUUCUCCAUUGUUACAAUGCAUGAAUA